UACGGGGGGAGCAAGCGUUGUUCGGAUUUACUGGGCGUAAAGGGCGCGUAGGCGGCGCAACAAGUCACUUGUGAAAUCUCCGGGCUUAACCCGGAGCGGCCAAGUGAUACUGUCGUGCUAGAGUGCGGGAAGGGGCUACUGGAAUUCUCGGUGUAGCGGUGAAAUGCGUAGAUAUCGAGAGGAACACCUGCGGCGAAGGCGGGUAGCUGGGCCGACACUGACGCUGAUGCGCGAAAGCCAGGGGAGCGAACGGG
rnacentral:rRNA from 1 species